rnacentral:rRNA from 1 species
GAUGAACGCUGGCGGCGUGCCUAAUACAUGCAAGUCGAGCGAACGGACGAGAAGCUUGCUUUUCUGAUGUUAGCGGCGGACGGGUGAGUAACACGUGGAUAACCUACCUAUAAGACUGGGAUAACUUCGGGAAACCGGAGCUAAUACCGGAUAAUAUUUUGAACCGCAUGGUUCAAAAGUGAAAGACGGUCUUGCUGUCACUUAUAGAUGGAUCCGCGCUGCAUUAGCUAGUUGGUAAGGUAACGGCUUACCAAGGCAACGAUGCAUAGCCGACCUGAGAGGGUGAUCGGCCACACUGGAACUGAGACACGGUCCAGACUCCUACGGGAGGCAGCAGUAGGGAAUCUUCCGCAAUGGGCGAAAGCCUGACGGACCAACGCCGCGUGAGUGAUGAAGGUCUUCGGAUCGUAAAACUCUGUUAUUAGGGAAGAACAUAUGUGUAAGUAACUGUGCACAUCUUGACGGUACCUAAUCAGAAAGCCACGGCUAACUACGUGCCACCAGCCGCGGAAAUACGUAUGUGGCAAGCGUUAUCCGGAAUUAUUGAGCGUAAAGCGCGCGUAGGCGGUUUUUUAAGUCUGAUGUGAAAGCCCACGGCUCAACCGUGGAGGGUCAUUGGAAACUGGAAAACUUGAGUGCAGAAGAGGAAAGUGGAAUUCCAUGUGUAGCGGUGAAAUGCGCAGAGAUGUGGAGGAACACCAGUGGCGAAGGCGACUUUCUGGUCUGUAACUGACGCUGAUGUGCGAAAGCGUGGGGAUCAAACAGGAUUAGAUACCCUGGUAGUCCACGCCGUAAACGAUGAGUGCUAAGUGUUAGGGGGUUUCCGCCCCUUAGUGCUGCAGCUAACGCAUUAAGCACUCCGCCUGGGGAGUACGACCGCAAGGUUGAAACUCAAAGGAAUUGACGGGGGCCCGCACAAGCGGUGGAGCAUGUGGUUUAAUUCGAAGCAACGCGAAGAACCUUACCAAAUCUUGACAUCCUUUGACAACUCUAGAGAUAGAGCCUUCCCCUUCGGGGGACAAAGUGACAGGUGGUGCAUGGUUGUCGUCAGCUCGUGUCGUGAGAUGUUGGGUUAAGUCCCGCAACGAGCGCAACCCUUAAGCUUAGUUGCCAUCAUUAAGUUGGGCACUCUAAGUUGACUGCCGGUGACAAACCGGAGGAAGGUGGGGAUGACGUCAAAUCAUCAUGCCCCUUAUGAUUUGGGCUACACACGUGCUACAAUGGACAAUACAAAGGGCAGCGAAACCGCGAGGUCAAGCAAAUCCCAUAAAGUUGUUCUCAGUUCGGAUUGUAGUCUGCAACUCGACUACAUGAAGCUGGAAUCGCUAGUAAUCGUAGAUCAGCAUGCUACGGUGAAUACGUUCCCGGGUCU